UACGGGGGGGGGCAAGCGUUGUUCGGAAUUACUGGGCGUAAAGGGCUCGUAGGUGGCCAACUAAGUCAGACGUGAAAUCCCUCGGCUUAACCGGGGGAACUGCGUCUGAUACUGGAUGGCUUGAGUUUGGGAGAGGGAUGCGGAAUUCCAGGUGUAGCGGUGAAAUGCGUAGAUAUCUGGAGGAACACCGGUGGCGAAGGCGGCAUCCUGGACCAACACUGACACUGAGGAGCGAAAGCCAGGGGAGCAAACGGG
rnacentral:rRNA from 1 species